GGGGAUAUAGCUCAGUUGGUAAAGUGCCUACCUUGCAUGCACAAGGUCCUGGGUUCAAUCCCUAGUAUCACAA
rnacentral:tRNA from 1 species